rnacentral:ribozyme from 1 species
CAUAUUGAAAGUGAAGGGAGAGAGAUGUUAAAGUGAAAAUGAGAGAAUAAGUACAGAAAAACAAGAUUCGGGUUUCUUGGUUUUUCUAUUUUUUCGUUUUUAUUAUUUUCUGUU